GAAAAGGUUACAGAGAACAAAAGCCAUCAUCGCCAUUUUCUUUCUCUUUUGCGCGCGAUGAACGACGACAUCCAUAACUCCACGAUCCGAGCUCCGUUUUCGAUGAUUUAAAUUGCAAUGGAUAGCUAACUCAAUGAGAAAUAAGAUACGACGAAUUAUCAAGUUACGGACUUGACGAACCAAGAUAGCUUGACGGGGAUCGACGUUAUAUUUUAUUAUUUUGGAUUAUUAGCGAUCCAGGUAACUGGAGUCGGAUCAGACAGACCAUUCUCUUUGUGCGCGAAGUCGAUUGGCUUGCACAAUGUAAAAAUUCAUUAGAGCUGCAGUAGUCCGUAUGAGUCAGUAUAUAAAUUGUGAAUUGUUUUUAAAUAGUUUAUUUAAAACGUAAACUACGAUAUAAUAUUUUAAUAUCUAUAAUUGUAU